AGCCCCGUCGUCUAGUGGCCUAGGAUUCAGGGCUCUGGUCCCUGAGACCGGGGUUCGAAUCCCCGCGGGGCUA
rfam:Candidatus Nanopusillus sp. Nst1 Nst1_C2, whole genome shotgun sequence.